GUUUGUUUCAGUGGACCAUAUACUAAUAUUUGAUAGAUAUAGAGAUUAGCAUGGCCUCUGCACAAAUUUUACAAAUUUGAUAAAUAAGGAACCAUUAAUUUUU